UACGUAGGGGGCAAGCGUUGUUCGGAAUUACUGGGCGUAAAGGGCUCGUAGGCGGCCAACUAAGUCAGACGUGAAAUCCCUCGGCUUAACCGGGGAACUGCGUCUGAUACUGGAUGGCUUGAGGUUGGGAGAGGGAUGCGGAAUUCCAGGUGUAGCGGUGAAAUGCGUAGAUAUCUGGAGGAACACCGGUGGCGAAGGCGGCAUCCUGGACCAAUUCUGACGCUGAGGAGCGAAAGCCAGGGGAGCAAACGGG
rnacentral:rRNA from 1 species